AGGCAGGCUGAGUGGCCCUGCUGUCUGAAGGGGCCUCAGUUUUAUCCUCCAACGCCUUGGGGCUCCACUGGUGCUCACCUCUCUUCUCCAAGCCUAGGUCUUCAGCAUGAGGCUGGAGAUCUGGGUGAAUGGCCUCCAUCAACAUCUUCCUUCGCCCACCUCUCCAGUAGCAGAGUGCAGAUAAGACUGGACGGGACAGCCCUGCUGAACCCACGGCAGACCUCCAAAGAGGAGUCCAGGACUGUACUGGAAGGAAGUGACCACAAGAUGACACCGUUGAUCUUCCAGACACUCCCGCUGUUAUGAGGAAAGGAGUCAUUUGCAGCCUGGAGGAGGACUCUACCAUUCCAAGAUAUUCAGCUGAACACCCUAGUAGUGCUAGCCGGCAGCAGUGGCUCCUGAGACCUCCACACCAGAGUCCCGCACACAUUCAAGGCCACCACCUCCUUCAUGCUCCUCUGUGAUCACCUCUCCAAGUCCCGGUGUCAGGAGCCUUCUCUGUGGCCGCCCUGGAGAGACUUGAGCCUGGGACGUGACGUGCUGGGCUGUGAAGCUUUCUGAGAAGGGAAACCUGUGGCCUGACCUGCCUGAAUGCUGCACCCAACCUCAUCUCUUCCUGGGAGGCAGGCUCUCUUCGCUUGUUUUUACAAAUUUGGUAAAACAGCAUUUCAGUCCUAGUCCCUGGUAGUGACCCUGCCAGGAUUUGACCCAGGCUGUCUGACUCUAUUUAUGCACAAAUCACGUAUUACCAUUUUUUAUUGUCCUUAGUCCAUGGCACACAUAUAAUGAGCACUUACGUGGCCCACUAGGAAGUCUUUCCUUUUUGCUUCAAACUCAGAUCUUGGCCAUUGGCCACAAUGGGGCCUUGGUCUCCUCUGAAGAUGACCUGGGACUGCUGUUCACAAGCAAAUCCCCAUUGGGCAUUUCUAUUCUCAUUGAGCUUGCAGCAAACCAUGAAGGUCCCUGUGGCCUAUCUUCUCCCAAAGCCAAGGAUGGGAGAUGGUACAUCAGGUGGGCACAGGAUUCAUGCUGAUUUAAAAGCUUUAUGGCAGGGCACAUGCCUCAUGCCUGUAAUCCCAGCACUUUGGGAGGCCGAGGAGGGUGGAUCAACUGAGGUCAGGUGUUCAAGACCAGCCUGGCCAACAUGAUGAAAGCCCAUCUCUACUAAAAAUACAAAAAAUUAGCUGGGUGUGGUGGCAGGCGCCUGUAAUUCCAGCUACUCGAGAGGCUGAGGCAGGAGAAUUGCUUGAACUGGGAGGCAGAGGUUAUAGUGAGCUGAGAUCAUGCCACUGCACUCCAGCCCGGGCAACAAGAGCGAAACUCUGUCUCAAGGAAAAAGAAAAAAUUAAGGGUCUAAAAAUAUAAGAACGAGACUAAGUGGAAAAGACCAUAAGCAACCCAUAACGCCAUAUUUACUAUCUGGGUUUUUAAGAGAAAAUUUGUAACCACUGUUUUGUAGUUUUCUGUGAGUCUAACUUGCAGAGCUUUUGCUAAUUUAUUCCUAUGUAUUUUAUGUGAGUUGUAAACACUACUGUAAAUGGUAUCAUUCCAAUUUUAGUUUUCAAUCAUUCAUCAAUGGUAUACAGAAAUUUUUAAAAAUACACAUUGACUUGUAUACUGAGACCUUGGUAAAUUCACUUUUGACUUCUGGUAGCUUCUUCGUUUUCUAUGAAUCAUGUUUAUGUGAAUAAAGCUACUUUAACUUCUGUUUUAA
ensembl:lncRNA LINC02965 long intergenic non-protein coding RNA 2965